rnacentral:rRNA from 1 species
CAAUAGCGUAUAUUUAAGUUGCUGCAGUUAAAAAGCUCGUAGUUGGAUUUCGGGUGGGAAUGGCCGGUCCGCCGUUUCGGUGUGCACUUGCUACGCCCACCUUGCUGCCGGGGACGUGCUCUUGAGUUCACGCUCGGGACACGGAGUCGGCGAGGUUACUUUGAGUAAAUUAGAGUGUUCAAAGCAGGCCUACGCUCUGAAUACAUUAGCAUGGAAUAACACGAUAGGACUCUGGCCUAUCUUGUUGGUCUGUAGGACCGGAGUAAUGAUUAAGAGGGACAGUCGGGGGCAUUCGUAUUUCAUCGUCAGAGGUGAAAUUCUUGGAUUUGUUAAAGACGGACUACUGCGAAAGCAUUUGCCAAGGAUGUUUUCAUUGA